UACGUAGGGUGCAAGCGUUGUCCGGAAUUAUUGGGCGUAAAGAGCUCGUAGGCGGCUUGUCACGUCGACUGUGAAAACCCGGGGCUCAACUCCGGGCCUGCAGUCGAUACGGGCUGGCUUGAGUGCGGUAGGGGAGACUGGAAUUCCGUGGUGUAGCGGUGAAAUGCGCAGAUAUCAGGAGGAACACCGGUGGCGAAGGCGGUCUGCUGGGGUGAGGCUGACGCUGAGGCGCGACAGCGUGGGGAGCAAACAGG
rnacentral:rRNA from 1 species